rnacentral:rRNA from 1 species
AUUGAACGCUGGCGGCAGGCUUAACACAUGCAAGUCGAGCGGGGUGAUGGUGCUUGCACUAUCACUUAGCGGCGGACGGGUGAGUAAUGCUUAGGAAUCUGCCUAUUAGAGGGGGACAACAUCUCGAAAGGGAUGCUAAUACCGCAUACGUCCUACGGGAGAAAGCAGGGGAUCACUUGUGACCUUGCGCUAAUAGAUGAGCCUAAGUCGGAUUAGCUAGUUGGUGGGGUAAAGGCCUACCAAGGCGACGAUCUGUAGCGGGUCUGAGAGGAUGAUCCGCCAAACUGGGGCUGAGACACGGCCCAGACUCCUAAGGGAGGCAGCAGUGGGGAAUAUUGGACAAUGGGGGGAACCCUGAUCCAGCCAUGCCGCGUGUGUGAAGAAGGCCUUAUGGUUGUAAAGCACUUUAAGCGAGGAGGAGGCUCUUUUGGUUAAUACCCAAGAUGAGUGGACGUUACUCGCAGAAUAAGCACCGGCUAACUCUGUGCCAGCCGCCGCAGUAA